UGGGCCUCACUGGUCUUUCACCGUAUCAUUACCAUCUCAUAACAUAUCAUAUCAUAGUGAGGGCCAAAGGAUCAUCCAACAUUCAUCCACAUCAUCAACAUAUUAUGCAAUGCAACAUAUUCGUGAAUUCUAAUGCAAGCACCCUAAUAUAUCUCAUGGCAUUCAUGAUGCGUGAAUCAUGCUAAGAACUUAUUUAUUUACUUUAAAGCAUAAAGAGUUA
rnacentral:lncRNA from 1 species